GACAGAGGGUGCAAACGUUGUUCGGAUUUACUGGGCGUAAAGCGCGUGUAGGCGGCUUUGCAAGUCGGAUGUGAAAGCCCACGGCUCAACCGUGGAAGUGCAUCCGAAACUGCAUGGCUCGAGUCUCGGAGAGGAAGGUGGAAUGCUUGGUGUAGAGGUGAAAUUCGUAGAUAUCAAGCAGAACACCUGCGGCGAAGGCGGCCUUCUGGACGAUGGACUGACGCUGAGACGCGAAAGCGUGGGGAGCAAACAGG
rnacentral:rRNA from 1 species